ACAGUCACACACAUAGAAAAGUAUAGGGAGGAUGAGCACCACCCCCUCCUCUCCUUAGAUGACAAAAAAGCAUUUGGCUCUCCAUAGAACAAAUACAACUUGAAAGCCUUGAGUCCAAUAAGCAUCCUCCUGUGCAUACAUUUAAGAUCAUACAAGGGUUCUUGACAGCCGCAGCCUCAGAAAAAGCCAGGCUUGAAAAAUCCUCUGAUUAGCCCAAGAUAACAAGUGAGGAGUAGUUUUGUCCCCAUUCCCGUUGGGGGCCCAGCUGGGUAUCCUACUAGAGUCAGUGCAGGCAUGCUAAUGGGAGCCCUGGAGACUGCAAGAGAGGAAGAGUGUGGAGGAGCUUUGAGGAGAGAGGUAAGCACUGAGAACUGAGGUGGAGACUGAUAGAUGGUCUCCUGGCUUGCCAAAGCAAUCCAUCACCAAUGGUAGGAAUGAGCUCAAAGAAAGGCUGGGAGAUCAGGAGCUGUCCACAGGUACUCAUCUCCAUUUGCCUCCUGCAAGUUCCCUUUUGUUGUUCAGUCCUUUGAACUCUUAGAGACCCUAUCUGGGAUUUUCUGGGCAAAGAUAGUGGAGUGGUUUGCCAUUUCCUUCUCCAGCGCAUUUGACAAAUGAGGAAACUGAGGCAAACAGGAUAGGGGUUUUCUUUUCUUUUUUACUUAGAAUAUUUCCCCAUGGUUACAAAUCUGAUCUCACACACUCCCUAGCUGUGAUUGACAGGCAGAGAAUCUUCAGAGCUGGCAGGGGUAAGAUUCCAAACAGUUGGAGAGACAGUUUACUAGUCUCUCUCGGGGGUUGGCAGCUACCAAAGAAGGUGGAGGUGGCUGAUCGGUGUUCUUGUGGACAUCCCUCUGAAGCAGGGGUGGAUAGGAGUUUUUCAAUACCCUUAGGUGGACUAAGGGGCAAUAUUGGGAGUUCCAGCCAUUCUCUGGACCAUCUAGGACUCCAACCUCUCCUUGCUAAAAGACUCUAUAUGGAAGGAAGAGCUGACUUGCACUUUAACAAGGAGAAAAGAAGAGCUAGUGUUGGCAUUGCAGAUAGAAGCCAGCCAGGUCCAGGAGGCAUUUCAGGAUAUAAGAGGAUGCCUCUCUUGUGACUCUUGUGACCCUAAAUCCACAAGAGGUAGGCAAGAUGAGGUCCCAAGGCAUCGGCUUAGGAAGAAAUAUGACAUCCUGGGGACAGAAGGCUUUAAACACUCUUGGUUCCACCAGUCUGAUCCAAAGCCUUUGCUCAGCAGCCCCCAUUUUUGUGGUACUCAGCACCUCCAUCUGAGGUCAGUACCAUUGCCCCCCCCCCAAACCCAACAACCUCAUCAUCCCCCUGUUCUCUUUUCAAGUCAUCAAAGAUUGGUCCUAUAACCAGGUACCUUCUCAGGACUGAGACUAUUUAUUCCUGUUAUUAUCAAAAGGGCUAGAGGGCUAUAAGACCAUUAUGGUCAGAAUCGGUGUGAUGUGAGCUGGAUCCAAAAAUGUUGAACUCAAUACCCUCAAAGAUCCCCUCCAGCUCUAAAUCUAUUGGGCUUUGAAUGAAUUGGUGAUCCAUCAAUGGAUUCAUCAUUUCACCAAUGUGAAUAUUCCCAUCUCAACUCAUUGACACUGUCUCAUCCUGUAUACAAAUCUAUAAAUGUUACACAGAGUAUCUUCCUGAAAUUAGGCAAUAUGGGACAAUUCAGUACAGUAAACAGAGCACUGGGCUUGGCAUAAGGAAGACCCGAGUUCCAAUCUUAUCUCAGAAAUUCCUUAGCUGUGUGAACCUGAGCAAGUUACCUAAACUCUCUUGGCAUUAGUUUUGUUCCUCAUAAACAGCCAUUUAUUAAGAUCUCACCAUGCGUGAAGGAUUGUUCUAAAUGCUGGUCAAAAUAGAGAAGAGUUUAACCUUUUUUGAGCCCUGUUUCAUUUCCUCAUCAGUAAAAGAGGCAUAAUUCCUCCCUCACAGGCUUGACAUUGAACAUCAAAUAAGAAAACAUAGGUGGAAUGAUAUAGAAACACGAGCCAUUAACAUGAUCCCCUGCUCUACCUACUCAAGCAAUCCAAGGUCUCAUUCAGUUUGGAAUUCAUUGCAGAAUCAUCCUUUUGGAGCAACAUAGUCCUCCUUCGGUUUCUUUUUUCUUUUUUAAAAAUAGCACUCCCCUCUGUUCUUGCAGAGACUGCUCCCUGAAUUUACCCAGGCUAUUGCAGGGGCAUCCAGAGACCAUAUAAAUCUCUAACUGACAUGCCAGGGCCAGGGCCUCACGCCACUGGUACCCAAGGGCUUGGGCCAGUACAAGGCCAGGCUGUCCAUUUGUCCCCAGACAGCUGCCACCUCCCUCUGCUUUGUCCAAGGGAAGUUUCCACUUCAGAGCCUACCCUGGGAAGACCAAUGACAGCACAUUUAUCUCAGAGACUUUUGACACUAAGGCCUUUUAAUCUCAUCAAGGAGACAACAUGCAAGGUGAGGAAAGACACUUUUGGAAAUAAAUAUGGAGCCAUCUCUGGCUUCUCAAAAAAGUCAUUAGGAAAUUAAAUACCAUUGCUUCUGUUAAGUCCUUUGAGGGUCUAGCUUUCCUUCAGGCAGAGAGAGUAGGUGGAGGGCAAGGGGACCACCCUCAAAAACUCAUCCUCAUUGGUCCCCAUAUUUUCUACCUAUCACUUCUCACUGGUGCCUGAAAUUCUACCAGUAAUUCCACCAAAAGUGAUUUAUUCCUUGAGUUCAAUUAUUGGCUCCUCCUUCCAAGUACAAAUUCCCAUAUAAUGUCCCCCAACAUCUUGUCAAAGAUGAUUUUAUCUUGCCCAGGGGAGAGAUCUAAGGCAAUAUGAAAACAGAUUUGAGAUGGGAGGAGCUAAAGACCAAUACAGACUGUAUACAGACAAAUUGCCCAGAAUAGUGUAAAGAGUUCAUAGGAACUGAGUUCAAAUCCCACCUCUAAUCAAUUGCCUUUGAUGAUGGGAAAUCUAAAAUAAUGGCAAUUAAAAGAUAAAAUUGUA